rnacentral:rRNA from 1 species
GACGAACGCUGGCGGCGUGCUUAACACAUGCAAGUCGAACGGAAAGGCCCUGCUUUUGUGGGGUGCUCGAGUGGCGAACGGGUGAGUAACACGUGAGUAACCUGCCCUUGACUUUGGGAUAACUUCAGGAAACUGGGGCUAAUGCCGGAUAGGAGCUCCUGCUGCAUGGUGGGGGUUGGAAAGUUUCGGCGGUUGGGGAUGGACUCGCGGCUUAUCAGCUUGUUGGUGGGGUAGUGGCUUACCAAGGCUUUGACGGGUAGCCGGCCUGAGAGGGUGACCGGCCACAUUGGGACUGAGAUACGGCCCAGACUCCUACGGGAGGCAGCAGUGGGGAAUAUUGCACAAUGGGCGGAAGCCUGAUGCAGCAACGCCGCGUGCGGGAUGACGGCCUUCGGGUUGUAAACCGCUUUCGCCUGUGACGAAGCGUGAGUGACGGUAAUGGGUAAAGAAGCACCGGAUAACUACGUG